rnacentral:rRNA from 1 species
GUGAACGCUGGCGGUAGGCCUAACUCAUGCAAGUCGAACGGCAGCACAGUAAGUGCUUGCUCUUACGGGUGGCGAGUGUCGGUCGGGUGUGCAAUACAUCGGAAUCUACUUUUUCGUGGGGUAUAUCGUAGGGUAACUUACGCUAAUACCGCAUACGACCUACGGGUGAUAGCAGUGGAUCUUCGUACCUUGCGCUUUUGAUUGAGCCGAUGUCGGAUUAGCUAGUUGGCGUGGGAAAGGCCCACCAAGGCGACGAUCCGUAGCUGGUCUGAGAGGUUGAGCAGCAACACUGGAACUGAGACACGGUACAGACAACUACGGGAGGAAGCAGUGGGGAAUAUUGGACAAUGGGCGCAAGCCUGAUCCAGCAAUACCGCGUGGGUGAAGAAGGCCUUAGGGUUGUAAAGCCCUUUUGUUGGGAAAGAAAAGCAGCAGGUUAAUACACCGCUGUACUGACGGUAACCAAAGAAUAAGCACCGGCUAACUUCGUG